GACGAACGCUGGCGGCGUGCUUAACACAUGCAAGUCGAACGGAAAGGCCCUGCUUUUGUGGGGUGCUCGAGUGGCGAACGGGUGAGUAACACGUGAGUAACCUGCCCUUGACUUUGGGAUAACUUCAGGAAACUGGGGCUAAUACCGGAUAGGAGCUCCUGCUGCAUGGUGGGGGUUGGAAGGUUUCGGCGGUUGGGGAUGGACUCGCGGCUUAUCAGCUUGUUGGUGGGGUAGUGGCUUACCAAGGCUUUGACGGGUAGCCGGCCUGAGAGGGUGACCGGCCACAUUGGGACUGAGAUACGGCCCAGACUCCUACGGGAGGCAGCAGUGGGGAAUAGUGCACAAUGGGCGGAAGCGUGAUGCAGCAACGCCGCGUGCGGGAUGACGGCCUUCGGGUUGUAAACCGCUUUCGCCUGUGACGAAGCGUGAGUGACGGUAAUGGGUAAAGAAGCACCGGCUAACUACGU
rnacentral:rRNA from 1 species